GGAAGUAAAAGCACAAUCAGCUUGAUGUUGAGGACGACUGUGCAGCAGAGAGGCUGCUGAGUUGUUUCAUUCUACUGCAGUGGAAGAACAUUGAUCAUCUGUUUGGCUUCAACUACGAAGACUAAGACAUGUUGCUUCACCUCUUUUUGUUUUUAUCUCCCUUCAUAGCCAUGGGUUCCAUGUACAGCAUAACGCCAGAAAGUCCUGAAGAAGUAGUUUCAGAGGGAAGACACAUCAACCUGACCUGUAAAUAUAACGGAUCCAUCAACAGCAUCCAGUGGUACCGACAACAGCAGAGAUCCAGACCAGAGUUCCUGCUCCUCAUCACAGAGGACGGAUCCAUUCAUCCAACUCUGUCUGAUUUCUCUGCUCACAUCAACCAAACUGAGAAACGAGUCAAACUGCAGAUCUCCUCUGCUGCAGUGACAGACUCUGCUGUGUACUACUGUGCUCUGCAGCCCACAGUGACAGGAAACUACACAACUCUGUACAAAAACCUGUGGAGCAAAGACAAUACUCCUCAUCAUCCACCAGAGGGAGGCACUCACUGUUAAACCUCAGUGGUUUGU